UGAGCAGUGAUCUGUUGUUCCAGGUGU
rnacentral:piRNA from 1 species